GACGAACGCUGGCGGCGUGCUUAACACAUGCAAGUCGAACGGAAAGGCCCUGCUUUUGUGGGGUGCUCGAGUGGCGAACGGGUGAGUAACACGUGAGUAACCUGCCCUUGACUUUGGGAUACCUUAAGGUAGGUGGGCCUAAUCCAGGACCGCAUCUCCUGUUGCAUGGUGGGGGUUGGAAAGUUUCGGCGGUUGGGGAUGGACUCGCGGCUUAUGGGCUUGUUGGUCGGGUAGUGGCUUACCCAGGCUUUGGCCGAUCGCCCGCCUGGGAGGGUGACCGGCGACAUGGGGACUGAGAUACGGCGCAGACGCGUACGGGAGGCAGAAGUGGGGAAUAUUGCACAAUGGGAGGAAGCCGGAUGCAGCAACGCCGCGUGCGUGAUGACGGCCUUCGGGGUGUAAACCGCUUUCGCCUGUGACGAAGCGUGAGUGACGGUAAUGGGUAAAGAAGUACCGGCUAACUACGUG
rnacentral:rRNA from 1 species